rnacentral:sRNA from 1 species
AUGUAAAUGUAGUUAAAACAUGCAGCUUUUUAAAGAGAUCAUGGAGGGUUUUGUAUAUUUUGACUUGAUUGAGGAGUUUUUGUGCAUUAGAUGGUGAUGGAUGACUUGUAUCUCUAGUCUACUUGCUGGUGCUUUGUUUUGAUUUUUUUCUUUAUAAAUACAUGAAAAAGAGUUCAAGAAACCUUAGGGUUUUUUUUCAUAGGAUUUUACUCUGUUUUUUACUGUGAUUUUGAUACAUAUAGUUUAGUACGUUUAGUUUGUAUGGUCAAAUUAUCUUUAAGAACAGUCAAUUUUAUACAGACUUGCUACUAGUAGAUGUACUUGAUUUUAUUUCCUGAUCAGCAUAUUUUUGUAGCUUAGUCCCUUGUUUAGAGAACAAACUAAUGUUUACACAGUUGUGUAUACAUCCAAUUUGAAGUGCAAUUGUCUCACCGAUCUCAUUCUUUACCCUUUAUAGAAAUAACCAAUUCAUUCAGUGUAAUUAAAUGAAAUGAACAAAUCUAAUCUGUAUAUUUGGUUUUCCAUUGAUUAUAUAUUGAUUUUUAUCUUCAAUGAAAUCUGAAAAAUUGAAAAUUUUAAUGUGCCAUUAAUAAAAGUAUUGUGUAAAACC